rnacentral:rRNA from 1 species
AAUAUUGGACAAUGGGGGCAACCCUGAUCCAGCCAGGCCGCGUGUGUGAAGAAGGUCUUCGGAUUGUAAAGCACUUUAAGUUGGGAGGAAGGGCUUUAGGUUAAUACCCUGAAGCAUUGACGUUACCAACAGAUUAAGCAUCGGCUAACAACGUGCCAGCAGCCGCGGUAAUAAAGAGGGUGCAAGCGUUAAUCGGAAAUACUGGGCGUAAAGCGCGCGUAGGUGGUUCAGUAAGAUGGGUGUGAAAUCCCCGGGCUUAACCUGGGAACUGCUUUCAUAACUGCUGAGCUAGAGUACGGUAGAGGGUAGUGGACUUUCCUGUGUAGCGGUGAAAUGCGUAGAUAUAGGAAGGAACACCAGUGGCGAAGGCGACUACCUGGACUGAUACUGACACUGAGGUGCGAAAGCGUGGGGAGCAAAC